UUUUUUUUUGUGUUUGCAAGAUGACCAAUUACAAUAACGGAAUUUAAAUAUCAAUAUAUGCUGUCAGGUUUUGAAUGGUAUCAUGUAUAAGUACUCAUAAUUAUAACAUUAUUUAUCUUAUGUCCACUCCAUAAGAACAAGACCAUUUUGUUCAACAUUCUGAAAUGUGCCAGCCCUGUAGUGUUAAUAAACCUACAGUGCCCUACAACACAGCAGACUGGGAGCUCUGCAGAUCCACCAGGCUGUGUGGAGCCAAUGGAGAUACAGGCAGUGCUCACUGUGCCAGCUUUGUGUCUCAAAACGCCCAGACAGGUUUGUGACCUACAUUGAUGUUCAGGCUUCCUACAGAUACAAACCCAGUCAGUAGAAUAACUUGAAGCAGUUCUGCAGACCUGGUUUUAAGAGUCAACGCAAGGUCUGUAUGGAUCAGGAGGUGAUGGAAUACAUUUUUUUUCUUCAAGCAACGUGUAAUGCGUAUGAUUUUACUGAGCUACAGCAAAGCUUUGAAUUAUUCUGAUUUCACCAUAUAAGGAGUUGUCCCAUAUGUAUGCUUUGAAAGUGAUUUUGUCUUGGAUGAAGGUCUUGUAUGCACAUCAAAUUGCUAACUACUGAAGUGAUUCCUGUUUGCUUCAACAGUAUCUGCAGCUAUCCAUGUGGUUGCGGUACUGUGGCAAAUAUCCUUUAGUACUUAAGUAUUCCACAGCAGUAGAGCAGAGUGUCUCAAACAGGUUCUUAAGUAUCAUGAGUUAUGUAGGGCUCCUGAGUU